rnacentral:rRNA from 1 species
GGUGAACGCUGGCGGUGUGCCUAAGACAUGCAAGUCGUGCGGGCCAUGGGGUUUUACUCCGUGGUCAGCGGCGGACGGGUGAGUAACGCGUAGGCAACCUGCCCCAUACACAGGGAUAGCAUUGGGAAACGAAUAUUAAUACCUCAUGAAACUUAACUAGUGCAUGCUAGGUAUGUCAAAGAUUUAUCGGUAUGGUAUGGGCCUGCGUCUGAUUAGCUAGUUUGUGAGGUAACGGCUCACCAAGGCGACGAUCAGUAGCCGACCUGAGAGGGUGAAAGGCCACAUUGGAACUGAGACGCGGUAGAAACGCCUACGGGAGGCAGCAGUGGGGGAUAUUGCACAAUGGAGGAAGCCUUGAUGAAGCAACGCCGCGUGAACGAUGACGGCCUUUGUGUCGUAAUGUUCUGUUCUAGGUGAUGAAAACUGACAGUACCCUAGGAGAAAGCCCCGGCUAACUCCGUG